CGGUAACUGCUCGUGGCCGGCGGUGGAGAUUGGACUGAUUUUUCAAAGACAUACUCUAAGGAGCCCAGAAAAAUCCAGUGUGGGAAAGGAGACCACUGACACCAGGCACACUCUGCCCAGCAAGAAUGUGGCAGAAGCUGCUGUGUUGCACACUGCCCUGUGAUGAGAGCCAC